ACUACCCUCCUCGUGAGAAAGUGUUUCCUAAAAUACAACUUAAACUUCCCUUGCUGCAACUGGGGACCAUUUCUCCUUGGUUUUUUAUCUGCCCCCACUGAGAAUGCUGUUAAAUCCCCUCUGUCUUCUUCCCCAUUAAGCCCACUUCUCUCAGCCUCUCCUCACAAGUCAUAGGCUCCAGUCCUGGAACCACUUUCAUUGUCCUCCACUGGACUCUCUCCAAUUUGUCCACAUACUUUUGGUAGGGGGGACUCAAGGCUAGACACAGGACUCCAGACAUGGCCUCCCCAGUGCUGAAUAGAGGGGAAGAAUCACUGCCUUCCAUCAGCUGGCGAUGCUCCUACCAGUGCAGUCCAGCAUGCUAUUCACAGCAAGGGCGCACUGCUGGCUCCUAUUCAUCUUCUUGUCCACUGUCACCCUCAGGUCCCUUUCUGCAGAGCUGCUGCCCAGCCAGUCACCCCCAGCCUGCACUAGUGCAUGGGAUUGUUCCCUCCUAAGUGCAGGACUUUGCACUUUUCCGUAUUGAGCCUUGUGAGAGUUUUUUUUUCCAAUCCUCCAAUCUGGCUGUUUCUCUGCAUGCUACUAGCCCUACCCUCCUGAGUAUCUAUUACUCCCCAAACUUGCUGAGUUCUCACUCCAUCCCGUUUUUCAGGUCACUUACGGAGAUAUUGCACAAAACUGGCCCCAGGACUGACCCCUGGAGCACUCCACUUGGUAUCGGCUGCCAACUAAGUAAUGAGCCACUGAUUGCUACCUUUUGAGCCUGACCAUCCAGCCAGUUUUCUUUCCACCCUACAGUCCACUCAUCCGACCUGUACUUCCUGAGCUUGCUUGCAAGAAUGUUGUGGGGGACCAUAUCAGACUCCUUGCUAAAGUCAAGCUUUAUCACAUCCACUGCUCUUCCUGCAUCCAGAGAGCCAGUCAUCUCAUCACAGAAGGCAAGCAGAUGCAUGUCUUCACUUCCUGUACCUUGGCAGCUUCUCUGCGUGUGUGGUAAUGAAUGGCUUGCCUUCCUGGGAUCAAAGAAAUUGGUUUUAUUUUCCCCUUUCCACAGUGUAACUACAAGGACCCUGAAGCUCCAUGCUACUUUGAACCAGAUGUUUUGGUUUUGUUUCGUUCUUUUUUUUUUUUUAAAGAGAAGAAAAAGAAAUAAGAAAUCUUAUAUUUUAAUGGAUGAAAUUUAUAUAUUUUAAAUACUAUGUUUCAACAGAUCGACACUUUUUUUCGUUUUGAGAAAUCUUGUAGCAAUGAUGACAUAAUAUAUUAUCGCAUUAACACACCAACUGCUGGAUGUUCAAAUGGUAUGCGAGGUCAGGAAAUGGGUGCUGGGUCUCCGCACGCGACUAUACCCGGAUGGCUGCGGCUCGCGGGUUCGGUACAGUCUGACCGUCUUUGGAGAGAGAAUUCUGCCCUCAGUUACACGCUUGCAACCUCCCCAGGCCAAGCGCGCUGCUGACCGACGCAGGCACAAAUUCAUUCACUCCAAGGGAGUUGAGCUUGCUGAAGCCAACAGUGGAUGUCAAGGACGUUGGCUAGUCAUUGACGUAGCCGAAGUCAGUCGGGUGGGGUGGAUGUGAAUAACUGAGGGUUGAAUUUGGUCCCUUCUAGUGCUUAAGAACGGCAGGUUAAUUUAAGGACAAAAUUGGUUUUUUUUUGUUUUUGUUUUUGUUUUUUUUUUAUGUACCCUUCAUUCCCUUGUUCUAAGAGCUAAAACUUUUUGUACUAUCCAGACAUCCUGGGUUUAUUUUAUUUCAGUUUUCUUACCCCUAGUUAACGCCUUGAAACUUGAAACAGGCUUCCUCAGUCAGUCCCCAUCCUUUCUCGGCAUGCUCAUGAUGGUGUCUUCUGGCGCUGGCUUUGUUGAGAGAGCCUGGCGUGGGUUUUACAAAUCGAGUGCGUGUCUUCUGGGAAUGAGAUUUGGGGAUCCUGCCCACCAGGCCAGUGUCCUUUUUUGGAUGGUUUUUGAACACUUUUUUAAAUAUUGGGGGGGGGGGGGUUAUUGUGUGUUUAAUCUCUUUUUGUACAAAAUCUGAGUCUCAGUGGAUGUGUAAGAGGCACUGUAUAGGGCAAAAAAGUUCCUUGAGCCAAAGCUCUGUGGAAGAAAAUAAUGCUUGAAUGUCUGUUAUGUGCUCUGCUCUCUAUGGGUUGCUCACACAAAAGGUCUGUCUCGAUAGCAAAGCUGCCACUGAUUCAGUAGAUACAGCUUGGGACCCUGCUAGGCCCUUCUGACGGUGUUGGUCCAUUGCAUCUGUAUUUAUUUAAGGAGGGCUUUGAUUUCUGUGUGCACGUAUAGAAUAAUUGCAGGUCCUAAAAGACCUUGUUCCUUUUCAAAAAGCUGGUCACUGCCAGGAUGCAGCAGCAUCUUCCAGUGUGGUGGUGGGGCUGGUUCGAGGGGGUGCUUAUUCACAAAGCAUUGCGCUAGUUUUGCAUUCUGGUAGCGCAACCUUUCUGUGAAACACAAGUGCAGUCCUUAAAAUUAUUCUCGCCAUCUCAUUGCUUCAUGAAGACAGGCCCCAGUCAGUCACCCUCCAGUUCUAGAGCGCAGUCCAAAUCCUGCUCCCUUAAAAGUCAGUGAGAGCAUGACCGGGUCCCUGCAGCCUGUCCCCGCGUCCUGGGAAGGUGCUGGGCAUCUUUCCACUGAUGUGCUGGUGCAAAUUGUGGGAGGAGAGGCCAGAGACUAAAGAGGCAAUUUUAAGAUAAGAUCUAAGGGAAUGUAUUUAUUCAUUUAACACUGUCCUUAAGGUGAACAAGGCUUUUAUUACUAAAAAGCUUGUGUUUAAAAAACCGUACUUUAUGUAACCUCACUUAAAAGAACAGAAGUUCCCAGCCCCUCUCGCACGCUAACAGUCAAAUGCACGCUUCCUUUGUCGCAAGGAGACGUAACAGCUCGCGCUGAGACACCAGAACCGUGGAUGCUGUUCAGGAUCUCCUCAUUUUGUGGAGGCACUAGAGCAAAAUCAAGUAUUUAUUUAAAAUGGCUAUAUUUGGAAAUCAUCGUUAAUCUUCCUCCUCUUCUGAUACUGAGUUCUCUGAGGGAUACAGCACAAUCCCUCUGGUCUGCCAGAAGGCGCAGGCACGUGCCUAAGAUCUUGGACACCUUCCCCCACCUUACUGCCUUCCUGGAAGACCCAACUAGCAAGCGGUCGCCCUGGCUCGUAGCACUUGUGUGUGACCAGAAGGGGCUCGGGAUUUUGUGUCGUAGCUGAAUGACUGAAUCUGCCAAAGACGCCACGUGACUGAAAGGUUGCUCUGAAUCUAUGGCAUUCCCUCCGCUGGAGGGGGAAUCAGUAUCGCCAUGCUUUCCUGGGGUCAGCGACGACGGACGUUGAUCAGUAAGCAAAUGAAGGAAAAGUGCCAAAAGAAUGGAUUGCGCAAGAUGAUUGUAUAACGCUGUCCUAUAUUGUCAGUAUUUCUUUUCUUCAAACGAUAUUGUACAUGCAGUAUGCAGUAGUCAAUGACGUAGAGCUUGAACAAGUGCUUUGUAUUUUAUCAUUGAAAGCAGGGGGGAGGUAGAAGCCUUAAAGACUAUAACUGAUCUUAAAAACAGGCCUUUAGCAAUGCUUCAAGGAUAGCCCUCCUGGGCUCUCAGCUGGACUUCUGGGAUCUCUUUGCCAUCUUGUAGUUAUUCAGUGAAAGGCUGACAAGGACCUUGUCCUGUGCACUUGGGAAGCAUCUCAUCCAAACCCAUCCUCUCUGAUUUUUCAAGAGAGAAAGCGGAAGACCGUUCCUUGUACAACUCUUGGAGGUGGACAGGAAGGCCCAGAAGAUCACUGUGAUGUAGAUCUGUGGGAUCUUUUGUAGAUCUUCGCAAUUAGGUGAAAACUGGGAUGCGUCCAUUACUGGGACCGUAGCUCAGAAGCCGGACCGAUCUAUGUGCUGUUUGAUGCAAACCUGUUUCUUCCCUGUAUCUUCACCCACCGCAAAGGAUCAAACAGAGAUAGAAUUAGCUCUUCACUAUGCAAAGAAAAAAAAAUCUUUAACUGAUUACAAAUAAUGGGCUUUUGUGUAUGCCUAGUUUUCUGGUGUUUCCUGUCAAACUGUUGAAAACAAAUCUAGAUGUUGCUACCUUUUUUCCACUAUGCUUUAAAUUGUUGUGCUUUGGUGUGUCCUCACCUUACAACUCAAACGGCAGUGCAACAAAAGACUGUGGUCAUUCUGGGUCUCAACAUUAUAAAGUAAAUCAGCGGUUACUGAAAGAUCAUUUACUUGCAUGUGUAUAAUACGCGGGUACGAUAACAUGCGGGGUUCUUUCGUAUUGUGGCUUGUUAUUCCAAGCAGAGUAUACCAUGGUCGUGAAAACCUGUCACAACAUAGAAAUGUGCCAAUCAUACAAAUACCUUGUGCAUUUUAACAGCAGAAAAGAGGGCUCUAACCACAGGAUAAAGGCGGAGGUUAACAUAGAAUAAAAACCAGGUUCUUAAGGUGAAUGACCA
rnacentral:lncRNA from 1 species